rnacentral:lncRNA from 7 species
CAGUUUCAGCCCUACCUAUCAACAUGCUCACAAUGGUAGACCGAGAGGGCUCUCUCGCUUCAUGGCAAUACAUGGCAGGCUAUUGAAGAGUCCCACUGCUGGACUCCGUGUGUGUGUGUACUUACUGACGUUUGAAAUAGCCCAGUGCUGAGACCCAGCUUUUUUGCCUUCUUUCAGCUGCUCUUCCUGAGACCAAGUUAGAAGUUGGGAGUGGGAAAUCCUUCACUGCCUAAAUAAACAGAUUAAAAAACACAGAAAAAGAAAAGUGGUGAGAAGAAUUCUGAGAAUUUUUCCCUCCUUUGGUAAUGCCAGAUCUAGUGAAUGGAAUGUCACAUCAUUGUAUACUGUCCUGCAGGCUGAGAAGAUGCUCUUCACAAACAUACUUUUGAGCUUGUAAAAACAUUUAAGACAAAGAAAACCCUUUUCUAAAGCACUAAAACCAUUGAGAGAAGGAUUCUGAUGCAAGUCUUCAAAAGAAAACCACUGGGCUGCGGGCAACACAGUCACACAGUCGGAAGCACAACAAAAGACUUCUGAGGCUUAGCAAAGCCAUGCAGGAGAUGGGUUGGUUUGCCUGCCUGCACGGGGUUGGGAGAAAGGGUAUUGGAACAAGAUUAAAACAUUGUUCAUAGUAGGAUUUCUGCACGGUUUGCACAGCUGACUGGGAAGGCAGAACAAGCCUCAGCUAUCAGCAGUUAUCUCUUUCCCCAAGCGGUGCUGGGGUGGGGAGAUUGGGAGGGUUGCUGCUGGCUGUGAGAUCAAGAGGUGCAUGCCUGGCUUUGCAGCUCUCCACAGCAGGAUGCAUAAAUGACUUCAAAUAGCUGCUCAGUUCCUUACAGCUACAAGAACGCUUCUGCCUACAUUUAAAAUCUCAGGAAUACGUAACACAGUGUAGAUAGUAAUAUCUGUAAUGCAUAAAAUGAAGGGCAACGUAGGGAAUUCUUGCAUCCCUCCACAGUGGCAUAGAUUGUGAAGUGAAGGAAGUACAGAGGCUAAUCUGAAAACUAGCUGAAACAGAAAAAUUUUUAGCCCUGAACUAUCCAAGCACUUUGGUUUGAAUGCAGUUUUAAACUUAUAUUCAGCAGGACAAUUUACCUGAAACAACAUUGGUCCUGCUCCACACGGCUUUCUGAAGCAAAACUGGUGCAU